UUUUUGGUACCACAAACCAGUGACAUGGCCUGAGAGGACGAAAUGCAAAAAAAAAAUUACAAAUUAAUUAUCUUCUUCCUCAAUUUAUCUCUAACCUCCAUUUUUAUCAUCUGCAAUCCCCAUUUUGUCAUCUCCAACCUCCAUUUUUUCUCAUCUUCAACCUCGAACCUCUAUUUUUUUAUCCCGAACCUCCAUUUUUUUUAUCCUCAACCUCCAUUUUUUUCUCAUCUCCAACCUCCAACCUCCAUUUUUUCAUCUUCA
rnacentral:lncRNA from 1 species